rnacentral:tRNA from 1 species
GGGGUUGUGGCUCAGAGGUAGAGCGUUCGCCUAGCAUGUGCAAGGCCCUGGGUUUGAUCCUCAGCACCACA